UGGAUUCGGGGCCUCAGUUUCCUCAUCUGGAACAUGGGAGUGAUCACGGCACCUACCUCAUCAUGCUGUCGUGAAGUUCAGUAGCUGUAUUCAGAGCCACGUCUGGUACAAGGGCAUAUCCAGCCCCACCCCCCUUUCUGCCCGGAAGUCAGCGCCCGCCCCGCCGCAGGUCCCAGAGCCCCGAUGGGGACCUGGGGCUUGGAAGACAAAGGGACCGGGACAUCGUCCACCUGUGUAGAAGGCUGGUCAUUUGGAGAGAGUUGGCCCAGCCCAGCGCCAGACAGGGAGCCCCAGGAGCCCUCCUGCCACCUUGCCCUCUGCGGAGACAGCCCUCCAGCCCCUCAGGCCCGGGCCCUGAGCUCUCAACGGGGCCCACGACUCGUCCUCCUGGCCUUCAAGCCUCCAAGGAGGCACCUCCUUUCUGCAGCUGCAGCAGGUCAAGAGCCUCAUCCGAGGAGGAAGUGAAAGCCCUGCGUGGCUCCCGCAGAACCACCCAUUCUCCUGUGGCUCAGCCCCACGGCGAUCCCCGCCAUGAUUCAGCCACCCCUGGGCGGAAUCAUCACCUCCUCCCUGUGCUGCUCCGGCCUGGAGUGGUAGUAGCUCGUGCCGUAGCUAGACUGCCUUCCCAUCUGCUGUAGGGCUUUUCAGCUCUUUCCUCUCCCGUGGAACCAAUCCCCCGUAUUAAAUUUCCCCUG